GAAAUGCGAUAAGUAAUGUGAAUUGCAGAAUUCAGUGAAUCAUCGAAUCUUUGAACGCACCUUGCGCUCCUUGGUAUUCCUUGGAGCAUGCCUGUUUGAGUAUCAUGAAAUCUUCAAAGUAAAUCUUUUGUUAACUCAAUUGGUUUCUACUUUGGUAUUGGAGGUCUUUGCAGCUUCACACCUGCUCCUCUUUGUUCAUUAGCUGGUUCUCAGUGUUAUGCUUGGUUCCACUCGGCGUGAUAAGUUAUCUAUCGCUGAGGACACUGUAAAAGGUGGCCAAGGUAAAUGCAGAUGAACCGCUUCUAAUAGUCCAUUGACUUGGACAAUACUUUAUGAUCUGAUCUCAAAUCAGGUAGGACUACCCGCUGAACUUAAGC
rnacentral:misc_RNA from 1 species